ensembl:lncRNA
AAAGGCAAAAUCUAGAUUACGUGUAAAAUACGCCUGGAAAGGGCAUCUCGGGUGCAAGAUGGAGAUCCACGAACUCUCCCGUGGUGGCGCAGCGGUAACGACCCCGACUGGUAUCCACGAGGACUUGGGUUCGAUCCCUGGCCUCGAUCAGUGGGUUAAGGAUCUGGCGUUGCCAUGAGCUGUGGUGUAGGUUGCAGAUGCAGCUCAGAUCCUGAAUUGCUAUGGCUGUGGUGUAGGCCAGCGGCUACAGCUCCGAUUAGACCCCUAGCCUGGGAACCUCCAUAUGCUGCAGUAAUUUUUAAAGAACACAAACACCCGUGUUUUCUGGGAACUUCCUCCGAGACAGCUGCAGACUAAGUUACUCAGCAGAGCCUGGGCUGUGUACCCAGACUUGUUUUGCUCAAAGAGGACAAAACAACAAGAGAAUCGGUCUGUGUGCCAGGAAGAGAGAAGGUAACAGGAAAAGUCAUGACCAUGACGUCAUGUUGCUUUCCAUCCAGCACCAGAGACCAUUACAGAGAUUCGGUUUUCAGAAAACACACGGCAAACGCUAUACUGAAGACGAGGCUCGAAGUUGGAAACGUUACAAUGGCAAUCUCCUCUCCUUCCAAGCCUCCCAGAUAGAAAAGCCACACUUUCCGCUCUGCCCUGGAACAGCCCCUACAUGUGACAAGGGGACAGAACCCUCUCCCCCUGUGACACCAAAGUGGCUGUAAAUAAGCUAUUUCUGAACAACGGGGCUUCCUGGCAGAACCGACUGGCCCAGCUUUAGACUUUAAUGACUGUAAUGGCCCAGCCUGAGGCUUUAGAAGCUUUCAUGAAAAGCUCUGACUCUAAGAUCGCUUGGUUGGCACGGGAGAGAGUUAUGACACCAGGUCAGGGGCUGUGGGACAGACCCUGGCCGGCUUCCUACCUCUGGGGACCCCGCCUCUGAACAAAGAAAUCCAGACACUGGGAGAGCAGAGAAGAUGCAAUUAUUUUUAACAAACCCCACAACCGUAAACAUAGGUACCACUGGAGCUUCUGGAACCUUCCAAUUGCAAGCAUGCUCCCCCGCGGUCAACGCCCCGGGGUUCGGGGUUUGAGAGCAUUCAUUACCAUCGUACCAAAGAAGCGACUCCACAAUUUGAAGAUUUCAAGCAACAAGGCUCGAGACUCCACACCUGAGGAGGUUAGAACAGGGUUGGUUCGGGUCCUUUGUCCCAGACACUGAGUUAAAGACCGCAGCCGAUGUGACCGGACAGACACGGCCGAGGGACAGGCUGGCCGCGGGCACCAGGGCUGGAGGGCCCGGGUUCCAUCGCAGGGCUGCUCCCCACUUGCUGGCCUGGGGCACUGCUGGCCUCUGAGCCUACAGCGGGUCUGGGGGGCGGGGGUGGGUGUGAGGAGGUCCUGGG